GACGAACGCUGGCGGCGUGCUUAACACAUGCAAGUCGAACGAAAAGAGGGAAAGAUCUUGCCCUUUACGGUAUUGAGUGGCAAACGGGUGAGUAACACGUAAACAACCUGCCUUCAGGAUGUGGACAACAGACGGAGACGACUGCUAAUACCGAAUUAGUUCAAAGAGCCGCAUGGCACAUGGAAGAAAAGGUGGCCUCUACCUGUAAGCUAUCCCCUGAGGAGGGGCUUGUGUCUGAUUUGGUGGGUUGGGAGGGAAAGGCCCACCAAGGCGACGAUCAGGAGGCCGACUGGGGGGAUGGACGGCCACACUGGAAACGAGACAAGGGCCAGACUCCUACGGGAGGGAGCAGUGGGGAAUCUUCCGGAAAUGGGGAAAGGCUGACGGGGCAACGCCGCGUGGGUGAUGACGGCCUUCGGGUUGGAAAAAUCUGGGAUCCGGGACGAAAAAGCAGAGUGCGAAGAAAAAACUGCAUUGACGGUACCGAAAAAGAAAGCCACGGCUAACUACGUG
rnacentral:rRNA from 1 species